UGGUUACCUGCACUGAUAAUCAGUGUGGGGAUCAUGUGAUCUGCAUUGUGUGGCUGCUUGUCUUGGGUCACAUGAGGCAUGUCACGUGACACAUUAGGAGAUUAUAAAGUUUGGCUUGUGGAGUUCACACUCUCUUGCUGCUGCCAUUUGCCACUGCAACUAGACUCCCGUCAUACAGGGUGACUGCUAGAACAAUGUGUUCUACUCUUUAUGAAGGACACAGGUGACUGCAUGGCAUUUGAAGGACUUGUGACCUCCUAUCGAGUUGCUGGGCUGCAGACACUCUGCACUGGAGUGCCCCAUUUUAUCUUCCUGGGUUAUUGUGCUGCGGGGAGUAUUGAACACACUUGCAAAGGACCAGGCCAGCCACUGUUUUAUUGUCAGCAUACAAGUCUUUUUUUUUAGUUUGUUUGUUGGUUGUUUUGUUUGCCUUUGGCUUUGUCCUUUUUUUUUGUCCUUGGUCUAGUGUAACCCUGCCUUGACCAAACCAGCGCGGUGGUCAUUGUGUUGGGAGCUGGCUGUUCUCCUCUUUUUGUCUCUGUAUAGGUUCUCUGUACAAGGCCGGAUCUGCACCUCACUACUGCUCCAUUCAGUUGGGGGCUGCACUGAGGGGACACUAUUUUGGGCCUCCUAGGAGAGGAGCUGUGGGUGCCGUGCCGACCCGACCUUAUUAGUUUGAGAAGCUCCAGCCAGUUUCCCUUCGUCUCUUUUUCACAUUAGCAAUUGUACCUAUUCAAAAUUGUAAUAAAUUUGAGCUUGUGUACA